CGUCUAUAUACGUAUAGCAUAUCAAUAAGCGGAGGAAAAGAAACUAACUAGGAUUCCCUCAGUAACGGCGAGUGAAGCGGGAAGAGCUCAAAUUUGAAAUCUUCAAGGUUCUACCUUGACGAAUUGUAGUUUAAAGAAGUGUUUUCUGUUGGAGUUUUGGUAAAAGUUCUUUGGAAUAGGACAUCAUAGAGGGUGAGAAUCCCGUAUUUGACCAUUAUUUCCAACUUUGUGAUACACUUUCAAAGAGUCGGAUUGUUUGGGAAUGCAGUCCAAAAUGGGUGGUAAAUUUCAUCUAAAGCUAAAUACUGGCGAGAGACCGAUAGCGAACAAGUACCGUGAGGGAAAGAUGAAAAGAACUUUGAAAAGAGAGUUAAACAGUACGUGAAAUUGUCAAAAGGGAAGCGUUUGACACCAGUGUUGUUUUUCUCGAAAAUCAAUUAAAAAUGGUGGGAUUUUGUGUUGUAUUGACUUUAUCAGCUUUCUGCACUUUUUUCCUGUCUUUUUUAAUGCACUUUUCGUUUAACAAGUCAACAUCAAUUUCUUUUGUUGUAAAAGGGUCAUUGGAAGGUGGCUUUCUUUUCGGAGAAAGUGUUUAUAGCCUUUGACUUCUGCAAGUCGGAGAGAUUGAGGUCUGCAGCGUAGAUCCUUCUGGGUUAGAUGCAUUUGUGCUAAGUUAUAGCCUUUCAUAGACAACUUGUUGACUAUGAUUCAGUCAUGUAGCUUACUCGCUUAUGUCAAUUUUACCUACGCUUAGGAUGUUGAUCUGUAGUGCGUGCGC
rnacentral:rRNA from 1 species